UCCUACGGGAGGCAGCAGUGGGGAAUAUUGCACAAUGGGGGGAACCCUGAUGCAGCGAUGCCGCGUGGAGGAAGAAGGUUUUCGGAUUGUAAACUCCUUUUAUCAGGGACGAUAAUGACGGUACCUGAAGAAAAAGCUCCGGCUAACUACGUGCCAGCAGCCGCGGUAAUACGUAGGAUGCGAGCGUUAUCCGGAUUUAUUGGGUUUAAAGGGUGCGUAGGCGGAAUGCCAAGUCAGCGGUAAAAUCGCGGGGCUCAACCUCGCUCCGCCGUUGAAACUGGCGUUCUUGAGUGGGCGAGAAGUAU
rnacentral:rRNA from 1 species